rnacentral:rRNA from 1 species
CGUUACCCCCAGAGAAAGCUCCGGCCAACUCCGUGCCAGCAGCCGCGGUAAUACGGGGGGAGCAAGCGUUGUCCGGAAUCAUUGGGCGUAAAGGGCGUGUAGGCCGUUUGGCAAGUCGAAUGUGAAAUCCCACGGCUCAACCGUGGAACUGCGUUCGAAACUGCCUUGCUUGAGUGCGGGAGAGGUGUGCGGAAUUCCUGGUGUAACGGUGGAAUGCGUAGAUAUCAGGAAGAACACCGGUGGCGAAGGCGGCACACUGGCCCAGCACUGACGCUGAGGCGCGAAAGCGUGGGGAGCUAACGGGAUUAGAUACCCCGGUAGUCCACGCUGUAAACUUUGGGCACUAGGUAUUGGAGGUCUCAACCCCUUCAGUGCCGUAGCUAACGCGUUAAGUGCCCCGCCUGGGGAGUACGGUCGCAAGGCUGAAACUCAAAUGAAUUGACGG